GAUGAACGCUGGCGGCGUGCCUAACACAUGCAAGUCGAACGGGUGUACGGGAUGGAAGAUUUCGGUCGGAAGCCCUGUGCAUGAGUGGCGGACGGGUGAGUAACGCGUGGGCAACCUGCCCUGUACAGGGGGACAACACUUAGAAAUAGGUGCUAAUACCGCAUAACGGGGGGAGCCGCAUGGCUUUCCCCUGAAAACUCCGGUGGUACAGGAUGGGCCCGCGUCUGAUUAGCUGGUUGGCAGGGUAACGGCCUACCAAGGCGACGAUCAGUAGCCGGCCUGAGAGGGCGGACGGCCACACUGGGACUGAGACACGGCCCAG
rnacentral:rRNA from 1 species